rnacentral:rRNA from 1 species
GGAAUAUUGCACAAUGGGGGAAACCCUGAUGCAGCAACGCCGCGUGAGUGAAGAAGGCCCUUGGGUCGUAAAGCUCUUUAGCGAGGGAAGAAGGUUGGUACGGUGAAUAAUCGGAUCAGCUGACGGUACCUCGAGAAUAAGCACCGGCUAAUUUCGUGCCAGCAGCCGCGGUAAUACGAAAGGUGCAAGCGUUACUCGGAAUCACUGGGCGUAAAGAGCUCGUAGGCGGUUUGUCGCGUCUGCUGUGAAAACCCGAGGCUCAACCUCGGGCCUGCAGUGGGUACGGGCAGACUAGAGUGCGGUAGGGGAGACUGGAAUUCCUGGUGUAGCGGUGGAAUGCGCAGAUAUCAGGAGGAACACCGAUGGCGAAGGCAGGUCUCUGGGCCGCAACUGACGCUGAGGAGCGAAAGCAUGGGUAGC